UCAUGACUAACUAGUAUAUAUAUACAGCAUAUAUCUCGUUUUUUAUUCCCAACCCUGAAAAUGCAAACGGCCUGAAAGAAAAACCCUAACGCAUUUCCCUCUUCUGUAGUGUAAUCUCUACUCUACCACAACACGCACUCUCGAAUCUCGAUCUCUAAUUUUUUCUAAAUGUAAGGCGAUUCAAUAAUCAUCUCAGUAUACAUGUUCUUCAGAGAAAGUUUAACUGAGAUGAUUUAUUGAAUUGCUCUACAUUAUGAAAGAAAAAAAAAAACUAAAGAAAAAGAAGAAAGAAAACAGAUCAGGCGUUACAAUUGGUGUGUGGUGAUCGCGAUCGUUCUGUGAAAAAUCUAUUAAGUAAAGUGGUGAUGCAUGUGAAGCUCAAAUUGAAUUUUAGAAAACAAGUUUGACAUCAUAAAGAGGAUUAAAGUCAUUGGUUAUAAGCCUUUAAUUUGGAAAAUUUAGUCGGAUUAAGAAAUUUUGUUAGUCAGCUUAAUGAGCAGCAGGUUAUUUGGUUGUAGUGGUUUAUAUGCUUGGUGCUAUUUGUACGUGAAAUUCUGUGCUGUUGUUAUUUGAAUCCACAUACAUUUUUUUUAAUGAAAGUUCAUGAUUCUAACUUGUAAUCAGAUUUCAUCCACGGGUGUUUAAUUUUUUCAAUUUAAGAUAACCAUGUAUUAUGUAUGGUGAUUCUUGACUUGUGAUCAAUUGAUCAUCAUUUUCAUAUUGGUGGUGUUUUAUAUUAGAAACCAAAAUAAUAUUGAAUCAAACUAAAGAACUUUUCUGGGUGA